UACAGAGGUCUCAAGCGUUGUUCGGAUUCAUUGGGCGUAAAGGGUGCGUAGGUGGCGCCGUAAGUCGGGUGUGAAAUUUCGGAGCUUAACUCCGAAACUGCAUUCGAUACUGCGGUGCUUGAGGACUGGAGAGGAGACUGGAAUUUAUGGUGUAGCAGUGAAAUGCGUAGAGAUCAUAAGGAAGACCAGUGGCGAAGGCGGGUCCCUGGACAGUUCCUGACACUGAGGCACGAAGGCCAGGGGAGCAAACGGG
rnacentral:rRNA from 1 species